rnacentral:rRNA from 1 species
GUUGUUGUGGUUAAAAAGCUCGUAGUUGGAUCUCAACGGCCUUGGAGCGGUUAUCAUGCUUGAUAGACUGCUCUGUAGGCCGUGCUUUUGCUGGAGGUUUAGGGGUGCUCUUAAUCGAGUGUCUCUGGAUGCCAGCAGGUUUACUUUGAAAAAAUUAGAGUGCUCAAAGCAGGCUGUUACGCCUGAAUAUUCGUGCAUGGAAUAAUAGAAUAGGAUGUCGAUCCUAUUUUGUUGGUUUUCGGGACUCGACAUAAUGAUUAAUAGGGACAGUCGGGGGCAUUUGUAUUCAAACGACAGAGGUGAAAUUCUUGGACCGUUUGAAGACAAACUACUGCAAAAGCAUUUGCCAAGAAUGUUUUCAUUAAUCAAGAACGAAAGUUAGAGGUUCGAAGGCGAUUAGAUACCGCCCUAGUUCUAACCAUAAACGAUGCCAGCUAGCGAUCUGCCGGCGUUUAAACUUAAGACUCGGCAGGAAGCUUCCGGGAAACCAAAGCAUUUGGGUUCCAGGGGAAGUAUGGUUGCAAAGCUGAAACUUAAAGGAAUUGACGGAAGGGCACCACCAGGAGUGGAGCCUGUGGCUUAAUUUGACUCAACACGGGAAAUCUCACCAGGCCCGGACACUGGAAGGAUUGACAGAUUGAUAGCUCUUUCUUGAUUCGGUGGGUGGUGGUGCAUGGCCGUUCUUAGUUGGUGGAGUGAUUUGUCUGGUUAAUUCCGAUAACGAACGAGACUCUGUCCUGCUAAAUAGUGUCUACUUCUCUUUUGAGUAGACAAUUCUUCUUAGAGGGACUGGCAACUCUUA